UCGGGAAUUUUGGGCAAUGGGCGAAAGCCUGACCCAGCAACGCCGCGUGAAGGAUGAAGUCUCUCGGGAUGUAAACUUCGUAAGAAUAGGAAGAAUAAAUGACGGUACUAUUUGUAAGGUCCGGCUAACUACGUGCCAGCAGCCGCGGUAAUACGUAGGGACCAAGCGUUGUUCGGAUUUACUGGGCGUAAAGGGCGCGUAGGCGGCGUGGUAAGUCACUUGUGAAAUCUCCGAGCUUAACUCGGAACGGUCAAGUGAUACUGCUGUGCUAGAGUACAGAAGGGGCAAUCGGAAUUCUUGGUGUAGCGGUGAAAUGCGUAGAUAUCAAGAGGAACACCUGAGGUGAAGACGGGUUGCUGGGCUGAUACUGACGCUGAGGCGCGAAAGCUAGGGUAGCAAACGGGAUUAGAUACCCGCGUAGUCCCUGAGCGGGCUGGCAAGGCGCAU
rnacentral:rRNA from 1 species